UAUCUCUGUAGAGUCUGCAUAUCAAUAAGCGGAGGAAAAGAAACUAACAAGGAUUCCCCUCAGUAACGGCGAGUGAAGCGGGAAGAGCUCAAAUUUGAAAUCUUCAAGGGUUCUACCUUGACGAAUUGUAGUUUAAAGAAGUGUUUUCUGUUGGAGUUUUGGUAAAAGUUCUUUGGAAUAGGACAUCAUAGAGGGUGAGAAUCCCGUAUUUGACCAUUACUUUCCAACUUUGUGAUACACUUUCAAAGAGUCGGAUUGUUUGGGAAUGCAGUCCAAAAUGGGUGGUAAAUUUCAUCUAAAGCUAAAUACUGGCGAGAGACCGAUAGCGAACAAGUACCGUGAGGGAAAGAUGAAAAGAACUUUGAAAAGAGAGUUAAACAGUACGUGAAAUUGUCAAAAGGGAAGCGUUUGACACCAGUGUUGUUUUCUCGAAAAUCAAUUAAAAAAGGCAGGAUUUUGUGUUGUAUUGACUUUAUCAGCUUUCUGCACUCUUUUCUUGUCUUUUUUAAUGCACUUUUCGUUUAACAAGUCAACAUCAAUUUCUUUUGUUGUAAAAGGAGUCAUUGGAAGGUGGCUUUCCUUUCGGAUGAAAGUGUUUAUAGCCUUUGGCUUCUGCAAUCGGAGAAAUUGAGGUCUGCAGCGUAGAUCCUUCGGGGUUAGAUACAUUUGUGCUAAGUUAUAGCCUUUCAUAGACAACUUGUUGACUAUGAUCAGUCAUGUAGCUUACUCGCUUAUGCUAUUUUACCUACGCUUAGGAUGUUGACGAUCAGCUGAGCGCG
rnacentral:rRNA from 1 species